rnacentral:rRNA from 1 species
AGCUCCAAUAGCGUAUAUUAAAGUUGUUGCAGUUAAAAAGCUCGUAGUUGGAUCUCAGGCUCCGGCUGGCGGUUCACUUCGCGGUGAUUACUGCUUGUCCGGACCUACCCGCCGGUUUUCCCUUGGUGCUCUUUGCUGAGUGUCUCGGGUGGCCGGAACGUUUACUUUGAAAAAAUUAGAGUGUUCAAAGCAGGCCGUGAAGCCUGAAUAAUGGUGCAUGGAAUAAUGGAAUAGGACCUCGGUUCUAUUUUGUUGGUUUUCGGAACUUGAGGUAAUGAUUAAGAGGGACAGACGGGGGCAUUCGUAUUACGGUGUUAGAGGUGAAAUUCUUGGAUCGCCGUAAGACGAACUACUGCGAAAGCAUUUGCCAAGAAUGUUUUCAUUAAUCAAGAACGAAAGU